CCGGAGUGAGUUUAAUGCCGCACACACAUCGGCACAUGCGUCUGGGUGCUCUGUCCAAUUCGGCUGGAUGGGGUUGGUGCAUGGGAUGUGUGGAGGAGUAAC
rnacentral:sRNA from 1 species